GACGAACGCUGGCGGCGUGCUUAACACAUGCAAGUCGAACGGAAAGGCCCUGCUUUUGUGGGGUGCUCGAGUGGCGAACGGGUGAGUAACACGUGAGUAACCUGCCCUUGACUGUGGGAUAACUUCAGGAAACGGGGGCUAAUACGGGAUAGGAGCUCCUGCUGCAUGGUGGUGGUUGGAAAGUUUCGGCGGUGGGGGAUGGACUCGCGGCUUAUCAGCUUGUUGGUGGGGUAGUGGCUUACCAAGGCUUUGACGGGUAGCCGGCCUGAGAGGGUGACCGGCCACAUUGGGACUGAGAUACGGCCCAGACUCCUACGGGAGGCAGCAGUGGGGAAUAUUGCACAAUGGGCGGAAGCCUGAUGCAGCAACGCCGCGUGCGGGAUGACGGCCUUCGGGUUGUAAACCGCUUUCGCCUGUGACGAAGCGUGAGUGACGGUAAUGGGUAAAGAAGCACCGGCUAACUACGUG
rnacentral:rRNA from 1 species